rnacentral:misc_RNA from 2 species
GAGGGUCGCUAGACCUCCCUAAUACCUUCAACCAACCCGCGUACCUACCCGAGGGGAAACAUGAUGCCUCGGUCGGCGGCCCCAGGGGGGGCCUCUGCCUGCGCGCCUUCCGGGGCGCGGGGGUGCCGGCCGGCGGCCAAAAACAAAACCUGAACGUUAUAAUAACCAAUUCUUUACAAACCAAAACCAUUA